GGUUAAGCGACUAAGCGUACACGGUGGAUGCCCUGGCAGUCAGAGGCGAUGAAGGACGUGCUAAUCUGCGAAAAGCGUCGGUAAGGUGAUAUGAACCGUUACAGCCGGCGAUGUCCGAAUGGGGAAACCCAGUGUGAUUCGUCACACUAUCGUUAACUGAAUACAUAGGUUAACGAGGCGAACCGGGGGAACUGAAACAUCUAAGUACCCCGAGGAAAAGAAAUCAACCGAGAUUCCCCCAGUAGCGGCGAGCGAACGGGGAGCAGCCCAGAGUCUGAAUCAGCUUGUGUGUUAGUGGAACGGUCUGGAAAGUCCGACGGUACAGGGUGAUAGUCCCGUACACCAAAAUGCACAGGCUGUGAACUCGAAGAGUAGGGCGGGACACGUGGUAUCCUGUCUGAAUAUGGGGGGACCAUCCUCCAAGGCUAAAUACUCCUGACUGACCGAUAGUGAACCAGUACCGUGAGGGAAAGGCGAAAAGAACCCCGGCGAGGGGAGUGAAAAAGAACCUGAAACCGUGUACGUACAAGCAGUGGGAGCACCUUUAUGGUGUGACUGCGUACCUUUUGUAUAAUGGGUCAGCGACUUAUAUUCUGUAGCAAGGUUAACCGUAUAGGGGAGCCGCAGGGAAACCGAGUCUUAACUGGGCGUUAAGUUGCAGGGUAUAGACCCGAAACCCGGUGAUCUAGCCAUGGGCAGGUUGAAGGUUGGGUAACACUAACUGGAGGACCGAACCGACUAAUGUUGAAAAAUUAGCGGAUGACUUGUGGCUGGGGGUGAAAGGCCAAUCAAACCGGGAGAUAGCUGGUUCUCCCCGAAAGCUAUUUAGGUAGCGCCUCGUGAACUCAUCUUCGGGGGUAGAGCACUGUUUCGGCUAGGGGGUCAUCCCGACUUACCAACCCGAUGCAAACUACGAAUACCGAAGAAUGUUAUCACGGGAGACACACGGCGGGUGCUAACGUCCGUCGUGAAGAGGGAAACAACCCAGACCGCCAGCUAAGGUCCCAAAGUCAUGGUUAAGUGGGAAACGAUGUGGGAAGGCACAGACAGCCAGGAUGUUGGCUUAGAAGCAGCCAUCAUUUAAAGAAAGCGUAAUAGCUCACUGGUCGAGUCGGCCUGCGCGGAAGAUGUAACGGGGCUAAACCAUGCACCGAAGCUGCGGCAGCGACACGAUGUGUUGUUGGGUAGGGGAGCGUUCUGUAAGCCUGCGAAGGUGGCCUGUGAGGGUUGCUGGAGGUAUCAGAAGUGCGAAUGCUGACAUAAGUAACGAUAAAGCGGGUGAAAAGCCCGCUCGCCGGAAGACCAAGGGUUCCUGUCCAACGUUAAUCGGGGCAGGGUGAGUCGACCCCUAAGGCGAGGCCGAAAGGCGUAGUCGAUGGGAAACAGGUUAAUAUUCCUGUACUUGGUGUUACUGCGAAGGGGGGACGGAGAAGGCUAUGUUAGCCGGGCGACGGUUGUCCCGGUUUAAGCAUGUAGGCUGGUUAUCCAGGCAAAUCCGGAUAAUCAAGGCUGAGGUGUGAUGACGAGGCACUACGGUGCUGAAGUAACAAAUGCCCUGCUUCCAGGAAAAGCCUCUAAGCAUCAGGUAACACGAAAUCGUACCCCAAACCGACACAGGUGGUCAGGUAGAGAAUACCAAGGCGCUUGAGAGAACUCGGGUGAAGGAACUAGGCAAAAUGGUGCCGUAACUUCGGGAGAAGGCACGCUGGUGUGUAGGUGAAGCCCCUGCGGGUGGAGCUGAGACCAGUCGAAGAUACCAGCUGGCUGCAACUGUUUAUUAAAAACACAGCACUGUGCAAACACGAAAGUGGACGUAUACGGUGUGACGCCUGCCCGGUGCCGGAAGGUUAAUUGAUGGGGUUAUCCGUAAGGAGAAGCUCUUGAUCGAAGCCCCGGUAAACGGCGGCCGUAACUAUAACGGUCCUAAGGUAGCGAAAUUCCUUGUCGGGUAAGUUCCGACCUGCACGAAUGGCGUAAUGAUGGCCAGGCUGUCUCCACCCGAGACUCAGUGAAAUUGAACUCGCUGUGAAGAUGCAGUGUACCCGCGGCAAGACGGAAAGACCCCGUGAACCUUUACUAUAGCUUGACACUGAACAUUGAGCCUUGAUGUGUAGGAUAGGUGGGAGGCUUUGAAGCGUGGACGCCAGUCUGCGUGGAGCCAACCUUGAAAUACCACCCUUUAAUGUUUGAUGUUCUAACGUUGGCCCCUUAUCGGGGUUGCGGACAGUGUCUGGUGGGUAGUUUGACUGGGGCGGUCUCCUCCCAAAGCGUAACGGAGGAGCACGAAGGUUAGCUAAUCCUGGUCGGACAUCAGGAGGUUAGUGCAAUGGCAUAAGCUAGCUUGACUGCGAGCGUGACGGCGCGAGCAGGUGCGAAAGCAGGUCAUAGUGAUCCGGUGGUUCUGAAUGGAAGGGCCAUCGCUCAACGGAUAAAAGGUACUCCGGGGAUAACAGGCUGAUACCGCCCAAGAGUUCAUAUCGACGGCGGUGUUUGGCACCUCGAUGUCGGCUCAUCACAUCCUGGGGCUGAAGUAGGUCCCAAGGGUAUGGCUGUUCGCCAUUUAAAGUGGUACGCGAGCUGGGUUUAGAACGUCGUGAGACAGUUCGGUCCCUAUCUGCCGUGGGCGCUGGAGAAUUGAGGGGGGCUGCUCCUAGUACGAGAGGACCGGAGUGGACGCAUCACUGGUGUUCGGGUUGUCAUGCCAAUGGCACUGCCCGGUAGCUAAAUGCGGAAGAGAUAAGUGCUGAAAGCAUCUAAGCACGAAACUUGCCCCGAGAUGAGUUCUCCCUGAGACUUUAAGUCUCCUGAAGGAACGUUGAAGACGACGACGUUGAUAGGCCGGGUGUGUAAGCGCAGCGAUGCGUUGAGCUAACCGGUACUAAUGAACCGUGAGGCUUAACCUU
rnacentral:rRNA from 1 species